rnacentral:pre_miRNA from 1 species
GGUGAUUGUUGGUCUGGUGCAUGUUGUAUUAUCGGGUCAUGACUAGAUCCACACUCAUCCA